rnacentral:piRNA from 1 species
CUCCACUAAGAUACAUAUUUAAUGC